rnacentral:lncRNA from 1 species
CGGGGACCCAGCUCCUCCCGCAGCGCUGCGCCCCGGCGGGGAAGCGGGGCGGAGACAGCGGCGUUCGCAGCAGGGAUGCGGUGCCCGCCCCGCCUUCGUGACCUGGGGUGAACAGCGCCUUCGGUUACUAGGGGACCCCCGCGGCUGGGAGCGGACCCCGCGCUCAGGGCUGGCCGGGUCCGCGGACCCAGGGGAGCUGGGAGGCUGCACCAGGCCGCCUGGGCGCCGCACGGCCGCACCGCCAGCAGGGAGACUGCGCCUCUGUGCCUCACAGCACCGCGCGCCGGAGGAGGGAACACAGGCCCUCAGGUGAAGGAAGAAAAAUGCAUUUAAAAUGCAGGAAAGAGCACCGCGCCGUGAGUCCCACGACCUCACAGGAGGUUCACACCACGUUCCCUCCGACGGCCUGCGCGGCGCCGUCCCCGGUCCGGUCCUGCAGACCCGCUUUGCAGAAGGCACCGGCGAGUCCGUCUCCGGGAUCCCGCUUCAUAGCCACCGCUCUGUUGGAGAGUGACCACAGGGAACGGACCCGGACUGCGGCUGUGACAGAGCGAGG